rnacentral:rRNA from 1 species
UGCCGCGUGCAGGAAGACGGCCCUACGGGUUGUAAACUGCUUUUCCGGGGGACGAAUAGGGCCGACGUGUCGGCCGAUGCCGGUACCCCGGGAAUAAGGAUCGGCUAACUCCGUGCCAGCAGCCGCGGUAAUACGGAGGAUCCGAGCGUUAUCCGGAUUUACUGGGUUUAAAGGGUGCGUAGGCGGGCUCCUAAGUCGGCGGUGAAAGUCUGCGGCUCAACCGUAGGAUUGCCGUUGAUACUGGGGGCCUUGGAUACGGUCGAGGCGGGUGGAAUGCGCGGUGUAGCGGUGAAAUGCUUAGAUAUCGCGCAGAACGCCGAUUGCGAAGGCAGCUCGCCAGGCCGUGAUUGACGCUGAGGCACGACAGCGUGGGGAUCGAACAGGAUUAGAUACCCUGGUAGUCCACGCCGUAAACGAUGAUGGCUGGGUGUUGGCGGUACACGGUCAGCGCCUGAGCGAAAGCAUUAAGCCAUCCACCUGGGGAGUACGGCCGCAAGGUUGAAACUCAAAGGAAUUGACGGGGGCCCGCACAAGCGGAGGAACAUGUGGUUUAAUUCGAUGAUACGCGAGGAACCUUACCCGGGCUAGAACGCCGAACGAACGGCCCCGAAAGGGGUCGGCCAGCGAUGGCGGUCGGCGAGGUGCUGCAUGGUUGUCGUCAGCUCGUGCCGUGAGGUGUCGGGUUAAGUCCCAUAACGAGCGCAACCCCUACCGCCAGUUGCCAGCGGGCAAUGCCGGGGACUCUGGCGGAACUGCCGGCGUAAGCCGCGAGGAAGGCGGGGAUGACGUCAAAUCAGCACGGCCCUUACGUCCGGGGCUACACACGUGUUACAAUGGCCGGUACAGAGGGCAGCCACCCCGCGAGGGGGCGCUAAUCUCGAAAGCCGGUCCCAGUUCGGAUCGGGGUCUGCAACCCGACCCCGUGAAGUUGGAUUCGCUAGUAAUC